UGCAGUCUUGUCAAAUUCAGUACUGCCUCACUCAAGGCAACACUGGCCCAAGUGUCUGCGACAUUAAUCUAGCAGGUCAUGAACCCCCUCUUCCCUCUGCAGUAUUUGGGGAUAUUAAUGUGCUACAGAUAAUU